CCUACGGGUGGCUGCAGUGGGGAAUAUUGCACAAUGGGCGCAAGCCUGAUGCAGCCAUGCCGCGUGUGUGAAGAAGGCCUUCGGGUUGUAAAGCACUUUCAGCGGGGAGGAAGGCGGUGAGGUUAACAACCUCAUCGAUUGACGUUACCCGCAGAAGAAGCACCGGCUAACUCCGUGCCAGCAGCCGCGGUAAUACGGAGGGUGCAAGCGUUAAUCGGAAUUACUGGGCGUAAAGCGCACGCAGGCGGUCUGUCAAGUCGGAUGUGAAAUCCCCGGGCUCAACCUGGGAACUGCAUUCGAAACUGGCAGGCUAGAGUCUUGUAGAGGGGGGUAGAAUUCCAGGUGUAGUGGUGAAAUGCGUAGAGAUCUGGAGGAAUACCGGUGGCGAAGGCGGCCCCCUGGACAAAGACUGACGCUCAGGUGCGAAAGCGUGGGGAGCAAACAGGAUUAGAUACCCUAGUAGUC
rnacentral:rRNA from 1 species